rnacentral:rRNA from 1 species
CCUACGGGUGGCUGCAGUGAGGAAUAUUGGUCAAUGGGCGCGAGCCUGAACCAGCCAAGUCGCGUGAAGGAUGAAUGAUCUAUGGGUUGUAAACUUCUUUUAUAUGGGAAUAAAGUGAGGAACGUGUUCCUUUUUGUAUGUACCUUAUGAAUAAGCAUCGGCUAACUCCGUGCCAGCAGCCGCGGUAAUACGGAGGAUCCGAGCGUUAUCCGGAUUUAUUGGGUUUAAAGGGUGCGUAGGUGGUUAAUUAAGUCAGCGGUGAAAGUUUGUGGCUCAACCAUAAAAUUGCCGUUGAAACUGGCUGUCUUGAGUAUAGUUGAGGUAGGCGGAAUGCGUGGUGUAGCGGUGAAAUGCAUAGAUAUCACGAAGAACUCCGAUUGCGAAGGCAGCUUACUAAACUAUCACUGACACUGAAGCACGAAAGUGUGGGGAUCAAACAGGAUUAGAUACCCCUGUAGUC